AUUAUUUUGUAAAUUGACAGAGCCUUGGUGGUAUAAAAUUCUAAUUCAAUAACUGAGAAGCAAAAUUUAAUAAAGGUUGAAACUCUUUGUGAAUUCUUGAAAUACAUUCUGACCAUCAAAUCUAUUUUUGAUACACUCCGAUAGAAGAAUUCUUGAAUCAAAUGAUAUUAAGAUAUAUAGUGGAUGAUCAUUUUGAUAUAGGGUGGAAUCCACUAGGUAUGAAGGUAUCAAGACUCCGUUUUCG
rnacentral:lncRNA from 1 species